ACCGACACAGGUAGUCAAGGAGAGAAUCCUGAGGUGCUCGAGUGAUUCAUGGCUAAGGAACUCGGCAAAUUAACCCUGUAACUUCGGGAAAAAGGGUGCCUCUCGCAAGAGAGGCCGCAGUGAAAUGGUGGUGGCGACUGUUUAUCAAAAACACAGGACUAUGCUAAAUCGAAAGAUGAUGUAUAUGGUCUGACACCUGCCCGGUGCCGGAAG
rnacentral:rRNA from 1 species